GUGCUUGCUUUGGCAACACAUAUACUAAAAUUGGAAUGAUACAGAGAAGAUUAGCAUGGCCCUUGCACAAGGAAGCCACUCAAAUUUGUGUCUGGCCAGCAGUGGGU
rnacentral:snRNA from 1 species